rnacentral:misc_RNA from 1 species
GGUAGCCGUACCGGAAGGUGCGGCUGGAUCACCUCCUUUCUAAGGAGCACCACGAAAAGCACCCCAACUGGUGGGGUGCGAGCCGUGAGGGGUUCCCGUCUGUAGUGGACGGGGGCCGGGUGCGCAACAGCAAAUGAUUGCCAGACACACUAUUGGGCCCUGAGACAACACUCGGUCCGUCCGUGUGGAGUCCCUCCAUCUUGGUGGUGGGGUGUGGUGUUUGAGUAUUGGAUAGUGGUUGCGAGCAUCUAGAUGAGCGCAUGGUCUUGGUGGCCGGCGUUCAUCGAAAUGUGUAAUUUCUUUUUUAACUCUUGUGUGUAAGUAAGUGUUUAAG